GACGAACGCUGGCGGCGUGCUUAACACAUGCAAGUCGAACGGAAAGGCCCUGCUUUUGUGGGGUGCUCGAGUGGCGAACGGGUGAGUAACACGUGAGUAACCUGCCCUUGACUUUGGGAUAACUUCAGGAAACUGGGGCUAAUACCGGAUAGGAGCUCCUGCUGCAUGGUGGGGGUUGGAAAGGUUCGGCGGUUGGGGAUGGACUCGCGGCUGAUCAGCUUGUUGGUGGGGGAGUGGCUUACCAAGGCUUUGACGGGUAGCCGGCCUGAGAGGGUGACCGGCCACAUUGGGACUGAGAUACGGCCCAGACUCCUACGGGAGGCAGCAGUGGGGAAUAUUGCACAAUGGGCGGAAGCCUGAUGCAGCAACGCCGCGUGCGGGAUGACGGCCUUCGGGUUGUAAACCGCUUUCGCCUGUGACGAAGCGUGAGUGACGGUAAUGGGUAAAGAAGCACCGGCUAACUACGUG
rnacentral:rRNA from 1 species